UACGAAGGGGGCUAGCGUUGUUCGGAAUUACUGGGCGUAAAGGGCGCGUAGGCGGCUGUGCAAGUCAGGUGUGAAAGCCCUGGGCUCAACCCAGGAUGUGCACUUGAUACUGCGCGGCUAGAGUGUCGGAGAGGACGGUGGAAUUCCCAGUGUAGAGGUGAAAUUCGUAGAUAUUGGGAAGAACACCGGUGGCGAAGGCGGCCAACUGGACGGUGACUGACACUGAGACGCGAAAGCGUGGGGAGCAAACAGG
rnacentral:rRNA from 1 species